UACUGGAUGAGGGGAAGAUUGAGGGAGGUUAGGGGGAGGAGCCGAGGCGGACGCUGCCGGGAGCGUGCGUCGUGACGUCAUCAAAAGACCUCUUAUAUACAAGAGCCCAGGCACCAUAUUGUCCUUUCGAGGUAGGAGUCGACACCGCCGAGGUAUGGUGCUGGGUGCAUAUGCAGUGUGGCUCUGGAUAGCACCUUAUGGACAGUUGUGUCCCAAAGGAAGGAUGAGAAUAGCUACUGAAGUCCUAAAGAGCAAGCCUAACUCAAGCCAUUGGCACACAGGCAUUAGACAGAAAGCUGGAAGUUGAAAUGGUAAGUGAAACUAUCCAAGUAAACAGGUAACUGGGCAAACUGCCUAUGGCACCAAUGGCUUUUUAGUUACCUCCUACUAGUGCUGAAUGCAUUAAAUAAAUGGUGGAUUCUUGUCUUGUUAUGAUUAAUAAGAAAGUUUGUAAAUGCAGCCUGGAUGAUGAUAAGCAAAUGCUGACUGAACAUGAAGGUCUUAAUUAGCUCUAACUGACUAAAGGCAUUUGUUAGUUUUGGCAGGGGGAGAACACUCAUCUGUGGCUAUUCUGAGACCACUCUUAUUUCUUAGGUGGAGUCCAACUUGCCUGGACCAGCUUAAUGGUUCUGCUCCUGGUAACGUUUUUAUCCAUGGAUGACUUGCUUGGGUAAGGACAUGAAGACAGUUCCUGUCAUACCUUUUAAAGGUAUGGAGAGUCGGCUUGACUACACUGUGUGGAGCAAGUUUUAAAGAAGCAAAGGUAUAGCAGUCCCAAGUAUUUUUUUUUUUUUUUGAGACAAGAGUCUAGCUCUUGCCCAGAAUGGAGUGCAGCGGCACUAUCAGCUCACUGCAACCUCUGCCUCCCAGGUUCAAGGAAUUCUCCUGCCUCAGCCUCUUGAGUAGCUGGGAUUACAGGCAUGUGACACCAUGCCUGGCUAAUUUUUGUACAGCUGUGUUGUCCAGGCUGGUCUCGAACUCUUGACCUCAAGUGAUCUGCCGGCACUGACCUCCCAAAGUGCUGGGAUUACAGGCGUGAGCCACCGUGCCCCGCCUCAAGUCUGGUUUUUAAGCGUUGUAAAGCCGAUACAAUGAUGAUAACAUAGUUCAGCAGACUAACGCUGAUGAGCAAUAUUAAGUCUUUCGCUCCUAUCUGAUGUAUCUGGCGGUAACAUUCUAGUUUAUGCCCUGAAAAGGGGAAUAUAGCCAUUCUAUAAUGUUUGGAGAUUUUGGAUUACUCCUAAUUGUAUGUAAGUUGUCUUACUGUGUAUUGUCCCUUAAUUUCAGGACUCAGAAUUCAUGCUUGAAGAAAUGCAGGUUAGUUUAAACUUAAGGAAAUUUUUAAGGUGGCAAAAGGUUUUGGUGGCAUAUACACCUUAAUCUGUAGAUGGGAGUGAUUAGCUGUUUAAAAGUUAAAAUGACUGAGAAGGAAAUUGAGUAGGGCAAAUUUUAAAUGGGUAUUAUUUUUCAUCUUCAAACAGGCAGACCUGUUAUCCUAAACUAGGUGAGUCAGCUUUUGGUACAUGUGAUGAUUUUCAGUGUAACCAAUGAUGUAAUGAUUCUGCCAAAUGAAAUAUAAUGAUAUCACUAUAAAACCGUUCCAUUUUGAUUCUGAGGUUACUCUACUAACAAGCAUCACACAUUUGUAUUUUGCCAUGAUUAAUAUGUUGGCUUCGCUUUCAGGGUUUUUAAUGACCACAAGCAAGCAUGCAGCUUACUGCUUGAAAGGAUCUUGCCUCACCCAAGCUGGAGUGCAGUGGCCUUUGAAGCUUUACUACAGCCUCAAACUUCUGGGCUCAAGUGAUCCUCAGCCUCCCAGUGGUCUUUGUAGACCGCCUGAUGGAGUCUCAUGGCACAAGAAGAUUAAAACAAUGUCUCCAAUUUUAAUAAAUUUUUGUAAUCCA